rnacentral:misc_RNA from 1 species
AAGUCGUAACAAGGUUUCUCUUGCAGCCCGCCUGGCUAGAAAAUCCCUGGUAAAUCAUCGCUGAACUAGUUUGAUUCAGGGACCGUCUGGUUGGGUGAGAGCCAUAGCUGCAAUCGAGAGAUCGUGGCAUAACCAAGCCUGCUCCGUAAAGUCCCCUGCGUACGUGAAAGUGGUAUUGGGGUGUAUGUACUGGAGAAACCCUUCUGGAUGAUGGACGGCCACCACGGCCGGUCGCUGCUGCUUGUGGGCGUUCGUGCCCCCCAGGAUUACCCCGCUACCAGUCGAAACGACCAACCUGCGCAACCAUUACGUGUUGAGCCCGUGGGCGUCGUAAACCGAAAUACUUGAACAACUGUUAACAAUGGAUAUCUUGGUUCUC